rnacentral:siRNA from 1 species
UAGAUUAGUUGGAACGAUUGAUG